rnacentral:rRNA from 1 species
UGAUACUGCCACCGUAAGGUGUGAGGAAGGUGGGGAUGACGUCAAAUCAGCACGGCCCUUACGUCCGGGGCUACACACGUGGAACAAUGGGUGGUACAGAGAGUUAGCGGCCGGCAACGUCCGUUUAAUCAUGAAAGCCAUCCUCAGUUCGGAUUGGGGUCUGCAACCCGACCCCAGAAGCAG